AGUGAACGCUGGCGGUAUGCCUAACACAUGCAAGUCGAACGGCAGCACAGUAAGAGCUUGCUCUUACGGGUGGCGAGUGGCGGACGGGUGAGGAAUACAUCGGAAUCUACUUUUUCGUGGGGGAUAACGUAGGGAAACUUACGCUAAUACCGCAUACGACCUACGGGUGAAAGCAGGGGAUCUUCGGACCUUGCGCGAUUGAAUGAGCCGAUGUCGGAUUAGCUAGUUGGCGGGGUAAAGGCCCACCAAGGCGACGAUCCGUAGCUGGUCUGAGAGGAUGAUCAGCCACACUGGAACUGAGACACGGUCCAGACUCCUACGGGAGGCAGCAGUGGGGAAUAUUGGACAAUGGGCGAAAGCCUGAUCCAGCCAUACCGCGUGGGUGAAGAAGGCCUUCGGGUUGUAAAGCCCUUUUGUUGGGAAAGAAAAGCAGCAGGUUAAUCCCCCGCUGUUCUGACGGUACCCAAAGAAUAAGCACCGGCUAACUUCGUG
rnacentral:rRNA from 1 species